rnacentral:rRNA from 1 species
GCCAUGCAUGUCUAAGUACAAACUACUUUCACAGUGAAACCGCGAAUGGCUCAUUAAAUCAGUUAUUGUUUAUUUGAUAGUACCUUUUACAUGGAUAACCGUGGUAAUUCUAGGGCUAAUACAUGCAACCAAGCCUCUAGCUCGCGUUGGGGGCGCUUUUAUUAGAUCAAGACCAAACCGGCAGCAAUGUCGGCCCCUUUGGUGACUCUGGAUAACUUUUGCUAAUCGCACGAUCUCGCAUCGGCGAUGUGUCAUUCAAAUUUCUGCCUUAUCAACUUUCGAUGGUACGUUAUACGCCUACCAUGGUUGUUACGGGUAACGGGGAAUCAGGGUUCGAUUCCGGAGAGGGAGCCUGAGAAACGGCUACCACAUCCAAGGAAGGCAGCAGGCGCGCAAAUUACCCACUCCCGGCUCGGGGAGGUAGUGACGAAAAAUAACAAUACAGGUCUCUUUCGAGGUCCUGUAAUUGGAAUGAGUACACUCUAAACCUUUUAACGAGGAUCUAUUGGAGGGCAAGUCUGGUGCCAGCAGCCGCGGUAAUUCCAGCUCCAAUAGCGUAUAUUAAAGUUGUUGCAGUUAAAAAGCUCGUAGUUGGAUCUUGGGCUGUGGGCGAACGCUACUCGUCGCGAGACGGUCGUGGUUGCACGUGGCCUAUCUCUCCGGUAGCGCGGGUGGGCUUAACUGUCCGUCCGUUCGUGGCCGGGGACGUUUACUUUGAAGAAAUUAGAGUGUUCAAAGCAGGCAGUUCUCGCCUGAAUAAUGGUGCAUGGAAUAAUGGAAUAGGGCCUCGGUCUUAUUCUUUUGGUCUUCGAGACCCGAGGUAAUGAUUAAGAGGGACGGCCGGGGGCGUUCGUAUUGCGCUGUGAGAGGUGAAAUUCUUGGAUCGGCGCAAGACGAACUACAGCGAAAGCAUUCGCCAAGAAUGUUUUCAUUAAUCAAGAACGAAAGUUGGAGGUUCGAAGACGAUCAGAUACCGUCGUAGUUCCAACUGUAAACGAUGCCGACUAGCGAUCAGGGGGUGUUCCUUGCUUGACUCCCCUGGCAGCUUCCGGGAAACCAAAGCUUUUGGGUUCCGGGGGAAGUAUGGUUGCAAAGCUGAAACUUAAAGGAAUUGACGGAAGGGCACCACCAGGAGUGGAGCCUGCGGCUUAAUUUGACUCAACACGGGAAAACUCACCCGGCCCGGACACCGCUAGGAUUGACAGAUUGAGAGCUCUUUCUUGAUUCGGUGGGUGGUGGUGCAUGGCCGUUCUUAGUUGGUGGAGCGAUUUGUCUGGUUAAUUCCGAUAACGAACGAGACUCUGGCUUGCUAAAUAGUGUGGUCUCACGCGUGAGACUCCUACACUUCUUAGAGGGACAAGUGGCGUUCAGCCACACGAGAUUGAGCAAUAACAGGUCUGUGAUGCCCUUAGAUGUUCGGGGCCGCACGCGCGCUACACUGAGGAGGUCAACGAGCGUUUUCUUUCCUUCCCCGACAGGGGCGGGUAACCUCUUGAAACCUUCUCGUGAUAGGGAUAGAGGAUUGUAAUUAUUUCUCUUGAACGAGGAAUUCCUAGUAAGCGCAAGUCAUAAGCUUGCGUUGAUUACGUCCCUGCCCUUUGUACACACCGCCCGUCGCUACUACCGAUUGAAUGGUUUAGUGAGGUCCUCGGACCGCACCGCGCAUGGCGUCAGCCUAGCGUGUGUCGUGGGAAGAUGAUCAAACUUGAUCGUUUAGAGGAAGUAAAAGUCGUAACAAGGUUU